AACGAACGCUGGCGGCAGGCCUAACACAUGCAAGUCGAACGAAGUCUUCGGACUUAGUGGCGCACGGGUGAGUAACACGUGGGAAUAUACCUUACGCUGGGGGAUAACAUCGGGAAACUGAUGCUAAUACCGCAUACGCCCUUCGGGGGAAAGAUUUAUCGGCGAAAGAUUAGCCCGCGUCCGAUUAGCUAGUUGGUGAUGUAAUGGCUCACCAAGGCUCGGAUCGGUAGCUGGUCUGAGAGGAUGACCAGCCACACUGGGACUGAGACACGGCCCAGACUCCUACGCGAGGGAGCAGUGGGGAAUAUUGGACAAGGGGGGCAAGCCUGAUCCAGCCAUGCCGGGUGAGUGAUGAAGGCCGUAGGGUUGUAAAGCUCUUUCACCCACGACGAUGAUGACGGUAGUGGGAGAAGAAGCCCCGGCUAACUUCGUG
rnacentral:rRNA from 1 species